AUCUCACGGAGCCCUGCUGACCUAACGCCUGGGCUGCGGAGGCUGCCAUCUGCCCGCAGCCUCUCCUAGGUAAUUACACCAGUCUCUCAAGGCCUGGAACAAGGCGGAUGUCAGCAUCCUUUCCUUCAUCUUGGAGGGCAAUGCUUCUUUCUUUUGCUCAUUUGGAGCAACCUAUCCUCAUGGUCUCCAGGUUUGCCUCGAUGUUGCCGUCAUAAAAACCAUGAGCACAAGCAACCCAGGGGCCAGGAAUGAGUUAACUUGGCUUCCACUUCCAUGUUGCAGCCCAUCACUGAGGGAAGUGAGGGCAGGAAUUCAAGCAGGACCCUGGAAGCAGGAACUGAAGCAGAGACAAUGGAGGAACACUGCUUACUGGCUUGCUCCCUCUGGCCUGUUCAGCUAUCUUUCUCAUACAGCCCAUCUGUCCAGAGAAGGUGCUUCCUACAGUGGGCGGGGCCCAACUACAUCAAUUAGCAAUCAAGAACACGGCCCACAGACAUGUUCACAGGCCAAUCUGAGGGAGCUUCUGCAUUCAUUUUUCCUUUCUGUGACCUGCAAAUUAUGUCCAGUUUUAUGAAUGUCUCACAGAAAAAAAAAAAACAAAAGAAAGAAGGAAGGAGGAAAAACGAGAGAAGAGAAGAGAAGAGAAGAGAAGAGAAGAGAAGAGAAGAGAAGAGAAGAGAAGAGAAUAGAGAGCUCAGGACCGCCUGGCCAGAAGACACCACUACUCAUAGCAGAACAAACAACCUUUCUACCUCAGUUAAGAUUCCAUCUUCCGGAAGGACUGUAUUUUGAGGCAAUUCCUCCCAAGCCACUGAGGGAGAAACUGGAAGGAGAUGCAUGCCCAUAUGCAGAAGGAGGAGAAGGAGGAAGAGGAGGAGGAGGAGCAGGAGGAGGAGGAAGAGGAGCAGGAGGAGGAGAAGAAGGACUCUGAACAAGGGAUGCUCUUAGGCCAAGAGUCUGGAAGAAACCUGUGGAGAGUCUGAUUGGACAGAUACAGACAACCGAGUCAUUCUAAAAAUUUCCACUACACUCUUAAACUACUUACGAAGUGUACACUUAGUUAUAGAAAUCUAGGUGGAAUAGAACAAGUCAAAGUAAACACCACCUUCUCUGGCCUGUGUAGCUCUGUUCACUGAAUAUUGUGAAGAAAUGUGCAUAACAGUUGGGUGGCUGGUGAGUUAAGGGUGAGUCUGGGUGUGGAUGUUCCUGUCCGUCCAUCCUCUGAAUAAUCACCAAACAUGACAUGAUGCCAUCCAUAGAAACACAUAUUCCAAGCGCAACCCAGAAGGAAAGGAAUGGUAAGGUUGGAAAUGCUGGUUCAAGCUAAGAGAAUCGAAUUCCGUGUGGUUGAUUGCUACUGAUUUGGAGUAGCAGAAAAUCAUGCAUUCAAAGGGCAUAUCUCGUGUCUUACAUCUUACUUAUUAGAGGUAAAAUAAAUAUUCAGGGGCUGAGAGAUUUCCCGGAAUUCUUCCAGAGGACUUGGGUUUGAUUCACAGCCAUCUGCAGCUUCGCUUUCAGGGACUCUGAUGCCGUCUUCUGACCUCUGAAGGCAGCAGGCACACCAGCAGGGCUCAGACAUAUGCAGGCAGGCAAAUCACCUGCGCACAUGAAAGAGAAGUGCAAGCAGAUUACAACAAUAUUCCAGCCCCUUUCUUCUCCUCCUCAUUCAUCACUUCCGAAGGGUAGACAGACACGUGGGCCAGGGCUGUUAAAAAUGAUAAUCAUUUUAAGCUCGUAUUAGUCUUGAAACAGAUAAAUUUAUCCUUCUGUUAGUAAGGAGACCACUGCUAAAGGUCUCCUGCUAUAGUUUAAAAUAAAGUGGGGAAAUUCAAUAAACACCAACUUCAGUGCAUUUUUCAGCUCUAAUUUUAGCACGCGGACCACGAAACCACUGUGGCAACGAGAGUGAUGGCUGUCAUCACCCUGGGUGUUGGAGUGCGGGCUCCGCAUUUGUAUGAGAAAAUUCGGGGAUUAUUUAAGCACUGUGUUUUCCUAUGCACAAAUUGCCUGCCUGUUUGUGAUAAAAAUGAGCUGACAGCCUUUGGCUGUUUUUAUAUCAAAUUUAGUACCAAAAUGUCCCUAGUUAACAGGCCUCCCUACUUUCAGCCCACAUGCAUUUUUUAUUUUUUUCUUUUUCAGAAAAAUGGAUUCUUUGGGACUCAGCAACUUCUUUCCCUCUUUAGCUCUCUAUUUUCCCUGCUUCUUCUUCUUCUUCUUCUUCUUCUUCUUCUUCUUCUUCUUCUUCUUCUUCUUCUUCUUCUUCUUCUUCUUCUUCUUCUCUUUCUUCUUCUUCUUCUCUUUCUUCUUCUUCUUCUUUUUCUUCUUCUUCUUCUUCUUCUUCUUCUUCUUCUUCUUCUUCUUCUUAUCACCUACAUACAGAAAAUUUCACAAAUUAUAAGCAUAAACUUUCAUGGACUGUAAACACCAGUACUUCUGAAGAGUAGCCAGAGGAAGACUAAUCCUUCAGUCUGUUUUUGCCAGGACAGCCCAUUCUUCAUACAUUUCUGAAAGUAGUAUUAAAGGCUUAUGAAAACAAAUGAGAACUUCAAGUUAUGUGUAUUUCUUUUGUGUGUGUGCCGGGGGAAGGUGGGUGAGUGGAUGUUCCACAGGCCAGGUGUGGAGGUCAGAAGGCAACUUCCUGUCUCCCCCUCCCCCGUGGGUUCCAGAGGACAGAACUCUGAUUCUCAAGUUUGGCAACAGGCGACUUAUGCUGAGCCAUCUUCUUGGCCCUGAUGUUUUAUGUUAUGAAGCUAGAGGCGUGGUUCCCUGAGGCUUGCACCCACCUCUAACUCCCUUGGCCUCCACGGCACCAGCACCUCUCUGCAAAUCCCCAUACACAGACAUAAAAAUGUAAAAGUUCAAAUAGUAACAUCCAUGUUUGGUGCAUACCUUUGAGACUAGUACUUGGGAAGCAACAGAGGGUAGAUCUCUGUGAGUGUAUGCCCAAUCUUGUCUUAUCUAUCUACUUCCAGACCAGACAGAGCCACACACAGAGACCCUGUCUCAAAAAAAAAAUCUUUUAAUUUCUCUUUUCUUUGAGAAUUUUAUACAAUAUAUGAUAAUCAUAUUCUUUUCUCUUCCCAAAUUUCUCCAAGAUCUUUCCCACUUCCUUAUCCACCCAAAUUCAUGCUCUUUCUUUUUUAAUAUAAAUUACAUUUUUAUUAUUAUAAUUUAUUACAGUUUAUUCAGUUUGUGUCCUGGCGGUGGCCCCCUCCCUCAGAUCCUCCCAAUUCCACCCUCCCUCCCAUAGUCUGCUGAUAGGGGAGGUCCUCAUCCCCUUCUAUUUGACCCUAGCCUAUCAGGUCUCAUCAGGACUGGCUGCAUUGUCUUCCUCUGUGGCUUGGCAUGGCUGGACCACCUAGGGGAGGUGAUCAGAGAGCCAGCCACUGAGAUUAUACCAGAGAAAGUCCUUGCUCUCCUUACUAGGGACCCCACUUGGAGACUGAGGUGCCAUGGGCUACAUCUGAGCCAGGGUUUUAUGUUCUCCUUAUGCAUUGUCUUUGGUUGGGGUAUCAUUCUCUUCAGGGCUCCCAAGGCUCAGAUUUUAUGGCUCUGUUUAUCUCCUUUUGGAGCUCCUGUCUCCUCCAGGCCUUUCCAUCUCCCCCUUCUUUCAUAAGAUUCCCUGCACAAUGCCCAAAAUUGGGCUAUAAAUCUUAGCAUCUGCUUUGAUAUCCUACAGGGUAGAGUUUUUCAGAGGCCCUCUGUGAUAGGCUCCUGUCCUGUUCCCUGUUUUCUUCCUCUUCUGAUGUCCAUCCUCUUUGUCUUUCUGAAUGAGGAUGGAACAUCUUACCCAGAGUCCUCCUUCUUGAUUACCUUCUUUUUUAAAAUUCUUAUUUUAUUUUUAUUAAUUACAGUUUAUUCACUUUGUAUCCAGCUGUAGUCCCUUCCCCUCCCAAUCCCACCCUCCCUCUCUCUUCUUCCCCUAUGCCCUUCCCUCAGUCCAGUGAUAGGGGAGGUCCUCCUGCCCUUCCAUAUGACCUUAGCCUAUCAGGUCUCAUCAGGACUGGCUUCUUUGUCUUCCUCUGUGGACUGGUAAGGCUGCUCCCCCCUCAGGUGGAGGUGAUCAAAGAGCCAGCCUAUGAGUUCAUGUCAGAGACAGUCUUGUUCCUAUUAUUGGGGAACCCUCUUGGACACUGAGCUGCCAUGGGCUACUUCUGUUGAGGGAUUCUAAGUUAUCUCCAUGUAUGGCCCUUGUCUGAGAAAAGACCACUGUGCCCACAUUUCUUGGUUCUGUUGCUCUCCUUGUAGAGCUCCUGUUCCCUCCAGGUCUUCCUAUCUCCCCCUUCUUUCAUAAGAUUCCCUGCACUCUGCCCAAAGUUUGGCUAUGAAUCUCAGUGUAUGUUUUGAUACCCUGCUGGGUAGAGUCUUUCAGAGGCCCUCUGUGAUAGGGUCCUGUCCUGGACAUUCCCUGUUUUCUCCCUUUUCUGAUGUCCAUCUCGUUUGCCUUUCUGAAUGAGGAUUGAACAUCUUACCCAGAGUCCUCCUUCUUGGUUAGCUUCCUUAGGUGUACAGAUUUUAGUAUGAUUAUCCUGUAUUAUAUGUCUAAUAUCCACGUAUAAGGGAGUAUAUACCCUGUGUGUCUUUCUGCUUCUGGGAUACCUCACUCAGGAUGAUCUUUUCCAGUUCCCAUCAUUUGCCUGCAAAUUUCAUGAUUUCCUGGUUUUUAAUUGCUGAGUAGUAUUCUAUUGUGUAAACGUACCAUAAUUUCUGUAUCCAUUCCUAAACUGAGGGGCAUCUGGGCUGUUUCUAGCUUCUGGCUAUUACAAAUAAAGCUGCUAUAAACAUGGUUGAGCAAAUGUCCUUGUGUACUUGAGCAUCUUUUGGAUAUAUGUCUAGGAGUGGUACAGCUGGAUCUUGAAGAAGCAACUAUUUCUAAUUGUCUGAGAAAGUGCCAGACUGAUUUCCAAAGUGGUUGUACAAGUUUACAUUCCCACCAGCAAUGGAGGAGGGUUCCCUUUUCUUCACAUCCUCUCCAGCAUGUGUUGUCACUUGAGUUUUUGAUCUUAGCCCUUCUGAUGGAUGUAAGGUGAAAUCUCAGGGUUGUUUUGAUCUGUUCAUUCUCUUUCUUUCUCUUAAAACAAACAACAACAAAGCAUGGAGUCUAUUUUGUCUUGAUAGACUGCUCCUGAGCUCGGGGCCUGCCCUGGUCUGUGAAUAAUAUACCUAGUGUCACUCUAAUGAAGAAAACUGACUUUUUUCAUUUCCCAGCAGGUAUCUGUUGCAAAUAACUCUUUGGCUAGGGGUGGGGUACCAUGUCUGCUUUCCCUCCUCCAUUCUGAGAUUUGUGUCUAGCUUGAUCUUGUGAAGGUCUUGUGCAUGCUGGCACAGAAUCUGUUUUUACUGUGUAUUGUUAGCAUGCAUAAAAUGCAUCUCUACAUAAGCUUUCAUGAAGGUGAAUUAUUUCCAAAAUCCUUUUACCACUAAUUAAUUCAUACUGUGUAUGAAUCUCAUAUAUGUGGUAUCAUAUGUCUGUCUUGUUUCAUUUCUUUCAGUAACAGUUGUAGGUAAUGUUACAUUAUCAUGUCUUACAGGAAUGUACUAUAUUUUAUGGGCUGUAUUGUUUGUUGUCUCAAGUGUUUAAAUAUGAAUAAACCCAUAUGAAUACACAUACUUGAUCAGUGUACAUCAGUACCUGUGCUUCUUGUGUGUCAACCAAGUCGUAUACUUGCUGGUUCAUAGCACCUAUCGAAUUUCAUCCUUAGCAAACACCCACCAUGUCCAUCAAUUUAAAGGUGGUCUAGUCUAUUCAUUGCCACACUGACACUUGGUAUUUUCAGUACUUUUAUCUGCUAAAAUAAACUUUCACUUCCCUAGUAAGUAGGAAUGGGUUCUCCUUUUAGUUUUAAUUUUUCAUUCUGAGGUAACUGAGCAAGAUGGCUGUCCUCCCUAUGCUCCUGAUUAAACUCUGUGCAGGUUUCUUCCUGACUCUUAGCCUCAGGGAUCCUCUUGUUUGGAGCCUUUCCUCUUCUUCUUCUUCUUCUUCUUCUUCUUCUUCUUCUUCUUCUUCUUCUUCUUCUUCUUCUCCUUCUCCUUCUCCUUCUCCUUCUCCUUCUCCUUCUCCUCCUUCUCCUUCUCCUCUCUCUUCUUCCUCUUCUUCCUCUUCUUCUUUUCUGGUCAUGCAUAUUCUUCCAAGGUCUAUUCAGCUGUACAACAUGGAAAGGUCUUCCUCUAGGACUUAGGAGCCAUCGUCUUGAAAUGGAACCAUUAAUGAAGAUGAUGUUGAGUGUCUGUAGCUGAUCAGGGAUUCAGCUUCCUCGUGUCAUUUAGUAGGUAAAGCUGUUUUAUGACCUUGUCCAUCCUCUUCCUCCAUGGAGCUCUGGAUCUCGUCCGCUGGCUCGUUACAGCAGUAGAGUUGAGAGCAACUUCUUUUGUCUGGCGAAAGAUUCUAGAAUGAAAUCUCCUUGCUGUUUGUCUCCAUCUGGUGCAGGUUUUUUGUUUUGUUUUCUUUGUUUUGUUUUGUUUUGAUAAGACUAAGGGGAUGGAUUCAUAUUACAUGUGCUUAUUGAAGACUUAGUUACCCUUCUAUUCAUAAUGUACCCUGAAAAAAGAAUUCAUUGUUUUCCUACUGCACUCAUGCCUUUACUUAUGGGCUACAGUGUUCUUUUAAUUACCUGCAUUGGGGCCCCUCAGCAAUGUUACUGUGCCCUUAAAUCAAGUAACCAUAUAUGUGUGUACUACCCUGCAUUCUAUCCUGAUAGUUUCAACUUGGGCAAACAUAUGCCACAACUAUAGCAUUCUUAGUUACUCAAAUCUUGUAGGGUAUGGUAUAUGUUACUGGCACUGUGUUAAUUCUAUUUGUCUUAAUGUGAAUUUUAGAAUUAGCAUGCAAAUUUAUAUGAAAAUUCAUUUGCUGAUUUCUUAAUAGGUUUGCAUUGAAUGUGUAGGCCAAUUUGGGCAGUUUUUACAGGCUUAAAUGCUACUUUACAGCUCAUAUGACAAAGCUCUUAAUUGAUUUCAAUUUGUCAGCAAACUGUUUUAGUUUUUCUGUGUAGUUACACUAAAAACAUUUUUGUAUGAUGCAUCAUAGACAUUCGAUGCUCUGAUCUUGAACAAUAUUCAAACAUUUUUAUGUUAUAAUAAUUUAUUAACGGAAUGUAUAGAUACACGUUUCACGCGGACCUUAUGAACUCUGACCUGCGGAAACUCUUUUUGUAAUUCUAAAUGUAUCCAUAUUUUGAGUGUAUUAUAUGUCUGACCACAUUAUGUUGAAAUAAGUUUUGUUUUUCUUUUUUCAGCCCUCUCUCUUUCUCUCUCUCUGUUUUCAUAAUAGUGGCCGAGAUCUCUAGUGCUGUGGUAAGUAGACAUCACUGGCAAUUGGGCCGGAGGCGAGGUUCAGGGCUUAUGUGCAUGGGGUGCUUUAGCAGAGGAUCCAGGCAUAGCACCCACAUAACUGCACAAAACAGCCUAUACCGUCAGUUCCCAGGUAUCACAUGCCUUCUUCUGGCCUCCGCAGGUGCUGCAUGAAUGUGGGACACAUACAUACAUUUGGUGACACAGUCAUACAAAUAAAAUAAGCACACAUUUUAAAAAGAAAUAGAAAAUGCAUUUUCACAAUUUCUUGAUCAGAAGGAUUACAUAGUUGUGUGGUUGUUGUAUUUGUCUAGUUUUUUCUUGACUCUUUUUUUUUUAAAUAUAGAAAUCUGGAUCAUGCUGAGGGGUUUUCUGCCCCUAGCUUCUUAUCCGCUAAUAACAAUUAACUGAAAGACAGAUUACUUUCUUGAUGAGAGCUUGCCUAUCUUCAGAUUGCUUUUACCUUUUACCUCAUACACAUAUUAAGAUCGUGGCUAAAAGCUUGAAGUGUGUAGAAAAUCCAUUGUCCCUGGUUGACCUUGAACUCUACUCCUUUUCUCUCUUAACAUUCUUAAUUUUUUAAAACUACUAGAAGUUGUACCUGUGUCUCAGCCAUUUUCUUUCAACUCCCCGCUGGGCUUUUCAGAUCCUUGGCUUACUACCAAACACAUCUCACUGGAGAGCGAGCAUGUAGCCAGUCUUAAACACAACAAUGGGGUGUCUUUGCCUGACGUCUCCACUCUCUCAAACCUAGACAUCCUGCUUACUCUGCAGCAUCUUGGGCAGAGUUUAAAACCACAUGCAGCUCCCUGGGGGCUCAGGACUUGAAGCAAAUUCCACCACCAUAUUUAAUGGAGAAUUACAAAUGGGUCCAAUCUCAAUGCCCCACAGAGCUCACACGGUGAAUCCUCAGAGACUAUGGCUUCCCCCUCUUCUCAAGAGCCUUAUUAUCCAUUGUGAGCUGAGAAGCAAUAAGAAAAUGUAUUGUGUGCAAAACUGCAUUGCAAGCACACAUAGGGGGAUAGCGUCAUCCUGCUGGGGAUGCCUGUUGGGAUAUGAAGUUAUUACAAUUACGUUUCUUUAGAUGCUGGACAGUAAGGGCUGCCUAGCUCAGUGGACGUCACGAAUGUGCAACUAAACUCCCCGAGAACUAAUCCCAAAUCUUACAAAAGAAAAAAAAAUGUGUUCAUGAACAAAUUGGCCAAGUAGAACUGAAUGUUUUGUGGGUGGUAAGAAAUCUAUUAGGCUGGUGAGAUGGCCCAGUUGGUAAAUGGUUUUGCCACACAAGCCUUGUAGCCUGAUCGGAUCCUGUAAAUCUACACAAAGGGGAAGAAAACUGGCCUCCACAUGUGUGUUGUGGUAUAUGUGCCUCCCUCCCUAUAUCAUAACAUGAUAUGCAUAUAUGUACACACACACACACACCAUAAUUACUGACAUUGGUUGUAUAAGCAUCAGAAAAGAAAAAGCAUAUUUAUGUGUGGGCUGAUAUUUUAUGCUUGGGGAAUAUUGAUUGGUACAAAAUGAACUUGCAAAUUCUAGCAUUUAAAAGUUGGUGCUAGACUGAAACACACACACACACACACAGACACACACACACAAACCCCUCAAGAUAAAAUGUUUCCUUGCAUUCAGCUAGAAGAAGAACAAUCAUACUGCUUUCAGAUUUCUGUAUGGAAAAUGCCUUCUUACUAACCUUUUCAUUACCAACACUUGUGUGUCCAACCCAGUGGAAAUAGUGAACCAUUAAAUACACACACUCACACUUACACAUACACACACACAAACACACACACCAAACUUCUAUAAAUUUUACAAAAAAAAAUUAAACCCAUGAUAUAUGACUCUCCUUGAAGUUGGACAUUUUGUUACAUCCCUUUAAAUAUUCUGAACUACUCCAGAAAGAAGACAUAGAGGAGGAGAGAGACCCAUAGCAAAGAAGGGUGUCAGUGGGAGGAGCAGGAGCGAGAAUGAGGUGCCGGGGGAAAAGACAGGGGUGCCAGUGGAGAAAGAAGCAGGAGGGAGAAUGAAAGAUGAAAAUGACUAAAAUUCAUUAUAUAAAAAUAUGAAACAGUCAAACAAAAAAUGGAAAAUGACUUUGUACAUUAUUCUGAAAGUUAUUAGGUUGAGUAAAUAGGAUUAUUGUAAUUACUAUUAUCUCUUAGUCAUUAUGUAUUUUAUUGUAAAUAAUAUCUUCAUUUCAA